rnacentral:rRNA from 1 species
UACGUAGGGGGCGAGCGUUGUCCGGAAUGACUGGGCGUAAAGGGCGCGUAGGCGGCCCUAUAAGUUAGGAGUGAAAGUCCAGCUUUCAAGGUUGGAAUUGCUUUUAAUACUGUAGGGCUUGAGUGCGGAAGAGGUAAGUGGAAUUCCCAGUGUAGCGGUGAAAUGCGUAGAGAUUGGGAGGAACACCAGUGGCGAAGGCGACUUACUGGGCCGUAACUGACGCUGAGGCGCGAAAGCGCGGGGAUCAAAC